rnacentral:lncRNA from 1 species
CUGAUGAUGAAGAGAGAGGCAGUGGCAGAGGGGGGGCACCUUUUAUUUCUAUUUUUAAAGGGACAGGACACUAAUUCUACCCCACUUCAACCUUGAAUUCAGGGGGGUGGGGGGAAGGCGGCUGAGUUCCUUCCCCCACCUUCCAGCCCUGAGCCCUGAGAGGGGGAUUGAGCCUGAGAGAGGAGAAGGAGUUUCUUCUUCUUCGAAAACCCCCAUCCACGACUCCUACCCCCUCACCCCUCCAACUCGCCUCCCUCCCGAGCCCCCUCCACCCUCCUCCUCUUUGGCCGUGAGAGGAGGAGAGAAAGAAACCAAAAGCCUCUUAGCAACACAGACCCUUUGCUGCUGCUGUUGCUGCUGCUGCUGCUGUUGCUGCUGCUGCUACUGCUGCUGCUGCUACUGCUGCUGCUGCUACUGCUGCUGCUUGGCCCUGGCUGGAGACAUCUCACUACACCCAGGAGCAGCCACUUCCCCAGCUCUCCUCCUCCUCCUUCGCCUCCUCCUCCUCCACUCCCCCCCUUUAUUACCCUUUGUGUCAUCCUCCACAGCUCCAGGGAAGGCACUCAAAAGUGGGGGGCAGGAAAGGAUCGUUAAACACCAGUUCACGGGGAGUUGGAGGGCUGACGACACUACAGAAU